GGUUGACCUCGGAUCGGGUAGGG
rnacentral:rRNA from 2 species